GAAGGAAUUUUACAGAAGCUACAGAGAAGUGUUGAGCAAGAAGAAAAUAAAUGAAAAGUUAAGGUCGAUGAAUCACACACGACUAUUAAACAGAUGCAGUCAUCAUUUACAUCUUCAGAACAAGAGCUAGAGCGAUUAAGAAGAGAAAAUAAGGAUAUUGAAAAUCUGAGAAGAGAACGAGAACAUUUGGAAAUGGAACUAGAGAAGGCAGAGAUGGAAUGAUCUACCUAUGUUACAGAAGUCAGAGAGUUGAAGGCACAGUUAAAUGAAACACUCACAAAACUUAGAACCAAACAAAAUGAAAGACAGAAGGUAGCUGGUGAUUUGCAUAAGGCUCAACAGUCACUGGAGCUUAUCCGGUCAAAAAUAGUAAAAGCUGCUGGGGACACUACUGUUAUUGAAAAUAGUGAUGUUUCCCCAGAAACGGAGUCUUCUGAGAAGGAGACAAUGUCUGUAAGUCUAAAUCAGACUGUAACACAGUUACAGCAGUUGCUUCAGGCAGUAAACCAACAGCUCACAAAGGAGAAAGAGCACUACCAGGUGUUAGAGUGAAGUAAUUGAGAAACUGUUCAUUUGAGGAUAAAAAAGGCAUUGUAUUAUAUUUUGCCAGAUUAAAGCCUUAUUUAUGUUUUCACCCUUUCUACUUUGUCAGAAACACUGAACAGAGUUUUGUCUUUUCUAAUCCUUGUUAGACUACUGAUUUAAAGAAAGAAAGAAAAAAAGCCAACUCUGUAGACACCUUCAGUUUAGUUUUAUAAUAAAAACUGUUUGAAUAAUUAGACCUUUACAUUCCUGAAGAUAAACAUGUAAUCUUUUAUCGUAUUUUGCUCAAUAAAAUUGUUCAGAAGA